AUGAGUUUGUCUGUCGGGCGUCAGUCACAGUCUCAGAACUUCGAUGAAGGUGAAGUCCUCAGGGAUAUUCUUGGGCAAAUCAAGCCAACAGACAGUCAAAUCAAGCCAAAAGAGGAGGUGCAGGAGGGCAGCAACACAGGAAGGUCGGAGAAGAAAAACCUAGUGGCAGACAUUAAAAGCUCGGUGAAGCGAGUUGUGCCACUGCUAUUUAGUCACAGGCAACAAAGCGACGAUGGCAGCACACAAAGUAAGAUACAAACAAUGAACCCUGACCAACUUAUUGGAGAACUCAGAAACCGCCUGCUUGGAAGGAGGUAUCUCCUCUUGAUUGAUGAUAUAUGGUCUGUAGAAACAUGGGGGGCCAUUAGAAACUGGUUGCCACAUGAUAGUGCAACAGAUAAUAGAGUAAUAGUAACUAUAAGAUUUCAAGCUGUUGGUGCGGCGUGGUCAGGAAGAGAUGGAACUGAUUAUCUGCAUGCAGUCAAUCGUCUAAGUGAUGCCGAAUCCAAAAGUCUAUUUUAUCAGGGUGUUUCUGAAUCUCAAAGCAGCAAAGAAAGUGAAAGAAAGGACACAAGAUCUCAACCUGUUGGUCCUGGGUCCUCUGAAGGGGAAGUUGAUGCCGAUGGCAAAGAACUGUUUAAUGAUCAUAUUUCAGUUGCACAAAGCAGCAAAGAAAACGAAAGAAAGGAUACAAGAUCUCAAGUUGUUGGUACUGAGUCCUCUGAGCGGGAUGGAGUAAAUCAUCUGCAUUCAGCUAGUGUUUCUGAUCAACAAAGCAGCAAAGGAAGGGAGAAAGAAGAGGUCCAUAUGGAUAUAUGGAAAUAUUGUGGGGGGCUUCCUUUGGCCAUAGUCACCAUGGCUGGCCUUGUGGCCUGCAACCCAACAAAAAACAAUGCUCAUUGGAGUAACAUUUGCAGGUCAGUAUUUCCCGAGCAGGUGGCUCCCCUAACUUUGGAUGGGGUCACAAGGAUACUUGAUUAUUGCUACAAUGAUUUGCCAGCAGAUCUCAAGACCUGCUCACUGUACUUGAGCAUUUUCCCCAAGGGCUCGAAAAUUAGUAGGAAGCGUCUGACCCGGCGAUGGAUAUCUGAAUGUUUCGUCACUGAGAAGCAUGGACUGAGUGCAGAGGAAGUCGCAGAAACAUACUUCAAUCAACUCGUAAGCAGGAAGAUAAUACGUCCAGUGGAUCACAGCAGCAAUGGGAAGGUCAAAUACUUUAAAGUUCAUGACAUGAUUCUCGAAUAUAUUGUGUCCAAGUCAAGCGAAGAGAAUUUUAUUACUGUUGUUGGUGGCCAUUGGCUGUUGCCAACUCCUAGCAACAAAGUCCGUCGACUUUCCAUGCAAAACAGUGGUUCCAAGCAAGAGAAUUCAACAAAAGGCAUGAACUUGUCUCAAGUGCGGUCACUGACAGUGUUUGGAAGCCAGGCCCGACGGCUCCCUUUCCAUUUGUUCAAUAAUGGAAUAAUACAAGUGCUAGAUCUUGAGGGUUGGAAGGGUUUGACAGAUAAACAUCUAAAUGGCAUAUGCAAAAUGCUUGUGCUGAAGUAUUUGAGCCUUCGUCGAACAGAGGUUUCUGAGAUUCCGUCAAAGAUUGAGAAGCUCCAGUAUUUGGAAACUCUUGACAUAAGGGAGACCAAUAUUCAGGUGCUUCCCAAAGCUUUUGGCCACCUCAAACGGCUCCGUAGCAUGCUUGGAGGGAGUAAAAACCCACGGAAGGCAUUGAAGUUGCCCAAUGAGAAAAAUAAGGAGCCGAUGAAAGCACUCCGUAUACUGUCGGGGAUUGAGAUCGAUGAGGACUCAUCAGCUGUAGCAAGCCUUCAUCAGCUGACAGGGCUAAGGAAGCUUGCCAUCUACAAGCUCAAUAAACGGGAGGGUUGUCAGACCUUCACACAGUUACGCUCCGCCAUCGAGUACCUCUGCAGUUGUGGUCUGCAGACACUUGUAAUCAAUGAUGAGAACUCUGAUUUUAUUAACUCCUUGGACACCAUGUCUUCUCCUCCAAGAUACAUCAUUGGCCUGGAGCUGUCUGGCAAGAUGGAAAAACCCCCAAAGUGGAUCAAAAAUCUAGAGAACCUCUACAAGUUGACCCUUUCUGUGACAGUUCUUAAGACUGAUACUUUCAAGCUCAUCCAAAAGUUGUCCAAAUUGUUUUCUCUCACCUUUACACUCACUGUAUCGAAGGAUGAUAGUAGGGACAUAGUGGACAUCCUUGAGGAAAAUAAACAGCUUACUGGUAGGGAGAUCAUUAUUCCACCUGGAGGAUUCGAGUGUCUAAAGCUGCUUCGGUUCUUUGCGACUCUAGUGCCGAGGCUGAGCUUUGCAGUCACAGGAGAAGAGGUAAUGCCAGCACUGGAGAGGAUUGAUAUGCGGUUUGAAGCCUUUGAAGGGAUUUAUGGCAUCGAGACCCUUGAAAGCCUCCAAGAGGUGCAUCUGAGCGUUGGUAAUCAAGCGGAUGAGAUAACCAAGUUCUUGGUACAAGAUUUGAAGGACACCCCCAAGUACUUGGACGAAAAGUGCACCAGCAAGUGGCCAAAGAUAAUCACCGAGUGA
rnacentral:rRNA from 1 species